rnacentral:lncRNA from 1 species
AGACUUUUCCCCCCUCCUCUUUCUUGUGUCUGUGUGUUACAGUUAAGACUCAUUUUCAGAACAGUUAUCUUCUCUUCUGAGUGUCAUGACUUACAAUGGCAGAGACAUUAUCCCUAUAUGGAAACAUAGCCAGAGCAGGAAUGCUUAACCAGGCUGCUCAAUUCCCCCAGCUACCAUUUCACAGCUUUUGUGUUCUGUUCACCACAGAGUUCCACAGGACUUCUCCUCAGACCUUCUUAUCCUUCUUCUUUUCCCACUUUCUUGCAGGAAUUCCAGCCCAGAAAGUUCAUUUGUUCUUUACUCCAGUUGGCACAGUAUUUCAGUUUGUGUACCCUUUGAACAACCCUGCUCUCCGAGGGACUUUCUUGAAGCUUUCACCAUGUAGGCAGUGUGAGAAAUGUUAAGGAAGAGACAUCAUGGGUCACUGGAGAAAUUCCUGUAACAGGAUUUUGUGACGUGAGGAAGUAUAUACCCAUCAUCUGCCAUGCAUAACAAAAAUGGGAAGAUAAAAUUAACUAGUAAGACAUUGCUUUAUUCUCUCCUCUAUUUUUAAUAAUUUUUAAAUUGUCAUCCCAGGCUCUUCUGGCUUACACAUCAUAAAUUGUUAAAUAAAAUGAAGAAUAGCGUUAAUGUACA